GCAUCGUUAGCUGAAUGGUACAGCGUUUGCCUUCGAAGCAAAAAGUUAUUGGUUCGAGUCCAAUAUGAUGUU